rnacentral:rRNA from 1 species
UACGUAGGGUGCAAGCGUUAAUCGGAAUUACUGGGCGUAAAGCGUGCGCAGGCGGUUUUGUAAGUCUGUCGUGAAAUCCCCGGGCUCAACCUGGGAAUUGCGAUGGAGACUGCAAGGCUGGAGUCUGGCAGAGGGGGGUAGAAUUCCACGUGUAGCAGUGAAAUGCGUAGAGAUGUGGAGGAACACCGAUGGCGAAGGCAGCGCCCUGGGUCAAGACUGACGCUCAUGCACGAAAGCGGGGGGAGCAAACAGG